rnacentral:lncRNA from 1 species
UGGCGUGUGGAGAAGAUGAUGAUGGUGGGGUUUUAGGGUUUUGGGGUUUUAGGGAUUUGAGGGGAAAAGGCAGUAUAUAUAGAGUUUCACCAACACAAAUUCACUGUCGUGACAAACAGGCGGAAUAAAGGGAGGGGGGAAGUACGACACAAACACACACGCACACACAACUACAUGUCUACACGUCAUGCACUCCAAAAUAAGAACGUGUCCAUCCCAUGGAAACGGAAGGUCAUC